UAGGGAAUCUUCGGCAAUGGACGGAANNNUGGACCGAGCAACGCCACGUGAGUGAAGAAGGUUUUCGGAUCGUAAAGCUCUGUUGUAAGAGAAGAACGAGUGUGAGAGUGGAAAGUUCACACUGUGACGGUAUCUUACCAGAAAGGGACGGCUAACUACGUGCCAGCAGCCGCGGUAAUACGUAGGUCCCGAGCGUUGUCCGGAUUUAUUGGGCGUAAAGCGAGCGCAGGCGGUUAGAUAAGUCUGAAGUUAAAGGCUGUGGCUUAACCAUAGUAGGCUUUGGAAACUGUUUAACUUGAGUGCAAGAGGGGAGAGUGGAAUUCCAUGUGUAGCGGUGAAAUGCGUAGAUAUAUGGAGGAACACCGGUGGCGAAAGCGGCUCUCUGGCUUGUAACUGACGCUGAGGCUCGAAAGCGUGGGGAGCAAACAGGAUUAGAUACCCUGGUAGUCCACGCUGUAAACGAUGAGUGCUAGGUGUUAGACCCUUUCCGGGGUUUAGUGCCGUAGCUAACGCAUUAAGCACUCCGCCUGGGGAGUACGACCGCAAGUUG
rnacentral:rRNA from 1 species